GCAUGAACGGGAUAGGCAGACCCAGCCCGAUUUAAGGAUAACGGAAACCCCUAAGAAUAAGUGACGUCAGUCACGGGGUGGGCGGGGGCGGGCAGUGAGCCAGAGAAGGGAGAGAAGGGCGAAUUUAAAGCUAUUUGCCAGGACGGUGUCAGGGCACAACAUGCUAGAAGAAGAUCAGGCAGCCAGAGAAGGCUCCAGCUCCGCCUGAGUUCCUGUAGUUGAGGUCCCAGAGCCGGUCCUGUGUGGCCUCCCUGCCCUGGCCUGGGGCGCUCACGUGCUCCUGAGGGAGGCGGCUGUUCUGCCGGCCCCUGCCUGGAAGUGGCCACACCCGGGUCCCGUCGCCCCUCGCAGCUAGUCAGCUGGUUUCUUCAAGCAGGAACAAGGAAGUCCUGAGGGCCAGAAAGAAAAAGUUGUGACCCCAACAGGAACUGGAUUCCACUAAACAGGAUAAUGAUGGGAUCAGACAUGUGAGUUCUUUUAUUUAUUUAUUUUUAUGUAGACUAUUUUUCCAUGAUUCCAUGUUUUCUGAUUUCUUCCCACUCCUCUUUCCUCCCCCCUCUCAGAGUUGACAAGUAGUUCUACUUGGUUAUAUAUGUGUCAUGGUUCAAAACCUAUUUACAUAUUAGUCAUAUUUGCAGUAGAGUGAUCUUUUAACUCCAAUACCCUAAUCAUAUUCCAUUGAACCAGGCGAUCAAUCAUAUGUUUCCAUUCUUCCUUUCUGC
rnacentral:lncRNA from 1 species